UCCCGUGUAAGCGAAAGGAAUUAGGCCAACCGACGAUGACAUAGCCUCGUAUCCCUCUCGAUCAUUCCUCGUAUGCCGAGUAAUUAUUCGUGUAUCGGCCAACUACUAUCCUGUUCGAGUUCCAACCUUUCCAUCCUUCGCUCGUCUCUCUCCUUCUCUUAGAGAUAGAAAACCUAUCUUACGACUUUCAUAAUCGUAUUCACCUCGUAACUGGUCGCUGGUAACCAAUGUAAAUUUAUGGUCCGAGGGACUCAUGGUACGAAAACGUGACGCGUGCUCGUUACUCUUCGCUUCCAUGACACGUGCGUAAAUCGUUACGCGCGGAGACGAAGCGAACGAUCCGGGACUCAGCCAUUUGUCGAUGUCCUCGUUGCGGUAAAGAUGGAAUUGCAGUUAGGCCGCUAGUCUUGCUAUCCUCUAAACCGACUCCCUUCCUCGUUACUUGCUCUUUCACCACUCCCAGAGUCCUCCUUUGCUAUGGCCCUCUCGUAGGACUUGUAUUCCCGUCACGGAAGCGAGGACAAAGCAGAGAAUGGUAAAAGAUAAAAGAACCAGGUGAAAGGUAAUGGAAAAAGGAAGAGGCAAAUGAACCCUUCUUACUCUCUGAUAUUCAAUUAAUGUUUUUAUAUAGGAAGUGCGCUGCAGUCUGAUAAUUAGCGAAACUGGAGUAAUUGGAAGCGAACGCUGAAUGUAUAAUAUUCAACGUGAUAUUAUCGAUAUCGCGUCAGAAUCGGCGAUAUUGGAAUAUAUAUAUAUAUAUAAUAUAUAUAAUAAAAAAUACAACUGAUAAUCGGA
rnacentral:misc_RNA from 1 species